ensembl:snRNA U1 U1 spliceosomal RNA
AUUCUUACCUUACAGGGGAGACACCAUUAUCAGGAAGGUGGUUUUCCCAGAGCAAGGCUUAUCCAUUACACUCUGGAUAUGCGGAUCCGUGCAUUCUUGCUUAAAUGUGGGUAACUCAGCUGUAUAAUUUGUGGCAGUAGGGGACUGAAUUUGCACUUUUCUCUU